AUUGAACGCUGGCGGCAUGCUUUACACAUGCAAGUCGGACGGCAGCACAGAGAAGCUUGCUUCUUGGGUGGCGAGUGGCGAACGGGUGAGUAACAUAUCGGAACGUACCGAGCAGUGGGGGAUAACUAAUCGAAAGAUUAGCUAAUACCGCAUAUCUUCUGAGGAAGAAAGCAGGGGACCAUUUGGCCUUGCGCUGUUUGAGCGGCCGAUAUCUGAUUAGCUAGUUGGUGGGGUAAAGGCCUACCAAAGCGACGAUCAGUAGCGGGUCUGAGAGGAUGAUCCGCCACACUGGGACUGAGACACGGCCCAGACUCCUACGGGAGGCAGCAGUGGGGAAUUUUGGACAAUGGGCGCAAGCCUGAUCCAGCCAUGCCGCGUGUCUGAAGAAGGCCUUCGGGUUGUAAAGGACUUUUGUCAGGGAAGAAAAGGGCGGGGUUAAUACCCCUGUCUGAUGACGGUACCUGAAGAAUAAGCACCGGCUAACUACGUG
rnacentral:rRNA from 1 species